rnacentral:rRNA from 1 species
GAGUCAUAUGCUUGUCUCAAAGAUUAAGCCAUGCAUGUCUAAGUAUAAGCACUUGUACUGUGAAACUGCGAAUGGCUCAUUAAAUCAGUUAUCGUUUAUUUGAUUGUACUUUACUACAUGGAUACCUGUGGUAAUUCUAGAGCUAAUACAUGCGAAAAAUCCCGACUUCUGGAAGGGAUGUAUUUAUUAGAUUAAAAACCAAUGCGAGUCCUCGUGGCUCGUUUUCUUGGUGAUUCAUGAUAACUUUUCGAAUCGUAUGGCCUAGCGCCGACGAUGUUUCAUUCAAAUUUCUGCCCUAUCAACUGUCGAUGGUAAGGUAGUGGCUUACCAUGGUUGUAACGGGUGACGGAGAAUUAGGGUUCGAUUCCGGAGAGGGAGCCUGAGAAACGGCUACCACAUCUAAGGAAGGCAGCAGGCACGAAAAUUACCCAAUCCCAACUCGGGGAGGUAGUGACAAGAAAUAACGAUACGGGGUCUUAAUAGGUCUCGCAAUUGGAAUGAGUACAAUUUAAAUCCUUUAACGAGGAUCAAUUGGAGGGCAAGUCUGGUGCCAGCAGCCGCGGUAAUUCCAGCUCCAAUAGCGUAUAUUAAAGUUGUUGCAGUUAAAAAGCUCGUAGUUGGAUUUCGGGAUGGGCCAGUUGGUCCGCCGCAAGGUGUGUUACUGACUGGUCUGUUCUUCUUCGCAAAGACUGCGUGUGCUCUUCGUUGAGUGUGCGUAGGAUUUACGACGUUUACUUUGAAAAAAUUAGAGUGUUCAAAGCAGGCUAUCGCUUGAAUACAUGAGCAUGGAAUAAUGGAAUAGGACUUUGGUCCUAUUUUGUUGGUUUCUAGGACCGAAGUAAUGAUUAAGAGGGACAAUUGGGGGCAUCCGUAUUUCGUUGUCAGAGGUGAAAUUCUUGGAUUUACGAAAGACGAACAACUGCGAAAGCAUUUGCCAAGAGUGUUUUCAUUAAUCAAGAACGAAAGUUAGAGGAUCGAAGACGAUCAGAUACCGUCCUAGUUC